rnacentral:rRNA from 1 species
UACGGAGGGUGCGAGCGUUGUCCGGAAUCACUGGGCGUAAAGCGCACGUAGGCGGCUUUCUAAGUCAGGGGUGAAAUCCUGGAGCUCAACUCCAGAACUGCCUUUGAUACUGGAGAGCUUGAGUCCGGAAGAGGUGAGUGGAACUCCGAGUGUAGAGGUGAAAUUCGUAGAUAUUCGGAAGAACACCAGUGGCGAAGGCGGCUCACUGGUCCGGUACUGACGCUGAGGUGCGAAAGCGUGGGGAGCAAACAGG